AGAGUUUGAUCAUGGCUCAGAACGAACGCUGGCGGCGUGCUUAACACAUGCAAGUCGAACGAGAAAGUUCUCUUCGGAGAGCGAGUAGAGUGGCGCACGGGUGAGUAACGCGUAGGUAAUCUACCCUUAUACCUGGGAUAACAUUGGGAAACUGGUGCUAAUACCGGAUACACUUUACUGCUGCGGGGCAGUAGAGGAAAGGUGGCCUCUUCAUGAAAGCUACCGUAUAGGGAUGAGCCUGCGUACCAUUAGCUAGUAGGUGGGGUAACGGCCCACCUAGGCGACGAUGGUUAGCGGGUCUGAGAGGAUGAUCCGCCACACUGGAACUGGAACACGGACCAGACUCCUACGGGAGGCAGCAGUGAGGAAUAUUGCGCAAUGGGGGAAACCCUGACGCAGCGACGCCGCGUGAGUGAGGAAGGCCUUCGGGUCGUAAAGCUCUGUCAGAAGGGAAGAAGUGUUAUACGGUUAAUACCCGUAUAAUUUGACGGUACCUUCAGAGGAAGCACCGGCUAACUCCGUGCCAGCAGCCGCGGUAAUACGGAGGGUGCGAGCGUUGUUCGGAAUUACUGGGCGUAAAGGGCGCGUAGGCGGCUUUAUAAGUCAGAUGUGAAAGCCCACGGCUUAACUGUGGAAGUGCAUUUGAAACUGUGAAGCUUGAGUAUCGGAGGGGAGUGUGGAAUUCCCGGUGUAGAGGUGAAAUUCGUAGAGAUCGGGAGGAACACCGGUGGCGAAGGCGACACUCUGGACGAAUACUGACGCUGAGGCGCGAAAGCGUGGGGAGCAAACAGGAUUAGAUACCCUGGUAGUCCACGCCGUAAACGAUGUGAACUAGAGGUAGGUGGUGUUGAUCCCAUCUGUCCCGCAGCUAACGCAUUAAGUUCACCGCCUGGGGAGUACGGUCGCAAGAUUAAAACUCAAAGGAAUUGACGGGGGCCCGCACAGCGGUGGAU
rnacentral:rRNA from 1 species